AUCCUCUCUAAUACCUCUUCUUGUUCUGUAGUUCUGUGCUUUUCUGUGUUGAAGCCUGGAUCUCAGAGCUGAUGAAGGACAGUGUCCAGGGACUCAGGUCCACUUUUUAAGGGCCAUGAUUCCACUUUGCUGCCCAAGCAAGGAAGCACAAACUCAAAGAUGGAAGGUCCAAAGUCGGAAAGGGCAGGUGAGCUGAUCAAUGGGAGCGUCUUCACAUCCAGCACAGAAAUUCUUCUUUCCUAACAAAUUCCACUGUUCAACUUGUUUCAAACUCCAGAAUGAGUAACUGCAUACGUUAAAAAGUGCAUUUAUAUCCAGAGGGGAGUGUUUGUAUAUAUGUUUUAGUUAAUAAAUAAAAAAGUAUCCUGACCUCUGAGAGUCACUCAAUAAA